GAACGCACAUUGCGCCCUCUGGUAUUCCGGGGGGCAUGCCUGUUCGAGCGUCAUUACAACCCUCAAGCUCAGCUUGGUAUUAGGCUUCACCCUUAGGGGCGGGCUUUAAAAUCAGUGGCGGUGCCAUCCGGCUUCAAGCGUAGUAAUUUUCUCGCUUUGGAGACUGUGUGUGUGUUUGCCAACAACCCCAUAUUUUUUAAAGGUUGACCUCGGAUCAGGUAGGGAUACCCGCUGAACUUAAG
rnacentral:misc_RNA from 1 species